AGGACGAACGCUGGCGGCGUGCUUAACACAUGCAAGUCGAGCGAGAGCCAGUUGAGGGGUAACCCUCGACUGGGGACAGCGGCGAACGGGUGCGUAACACGUGGGCAACCUGCCCCUGACACUGGGAUAACCCCGGGAAACCGGAGCUAAUACCGGAUACUCUCGGCCGAUCACAUGGCUGGCCGAGGAAAGGUCCGCCGGUCAGGGAUGGGCCCGCGGCCUAUCAGCUUGUUGGUGGGGUAACGCCUACCAAGGCGACGACGGGUAGCUGGUCUGAGAGGACGACCAGCCACACUGGAACUGAGAUACGGUCCAGACUCCUACGGAGGCAGCAGUGGGGAAUAUUGCACAAUGGGCGAAAGCCUGAUGCAGCGACGCCGCGUGAGGGAUGAAGGCCUUCGGGUCGUAAACCUCUUUCGGCAGGGACGAAGCGAUCAGUGACGGUACCUGCAGAAGAAGCCCCGGCUAACUACGUGCCAGCAGCCGC
rnacentral:rRNA from 1 species